ACGUACACUCCUGCGGGAGGCAGCAGUGGGGAAUAUUGGACAAUGGGCGCAAGCCUGAUCCAGCCAUGCCGCGUGAGUGAUGAAGGCCCUAGGGUUGUAAAGCUCUUUCACCGGAGAAGAUAAUGACGGUAUCCGGAGAAGAAGCCCCGGCUAACUUCGUGCCAGCAGCCGCGGUAAUACGAAGGGGGCUAGCGUUGUUCGGAAUUACUGGGCGUAAAGCGCACGUAGGCGGAUCGAUCAGUCAGGGGUGAAAUCCCAGGGCUCAACCCUGGAACUGCCUUUGAUACUGUCGAUCUGGAGUAUGGAAGAGGUGAGUGGAAUUCCGAGUGUAGAGGUGAAAUUCGUAGAUAUUCGGAGGAACACCAGUGGCGAAGGCGGCUCACUGGUCCAUUACUGACGCUGAGGUGCGAAAGCGUGGGGAGCAAACAGGAUUAGAUACCCGGGUAGUCCC
rnacentral:rRNA from 1 species